GUUGCUGUUAUGAAGUUAACUUCAUCAUUUGCUCAAGGAAAGUGAUGGUCAGUUGAAGAGUUUUUAUUUGUGUUUUUUUACAAUUACUAAUACUAUUGUUUAUUUCGUGUAGCCUGGCCAGAAUUCGGAAGAGCAUAGACAGAUGAUGAUGCCGGAGUUUCAAUUACAGGUUUCACAAGGAAAUAGCCAUGCUGUCCAUUUCAGCGGUCCACCAUUUUCCAACACUGGAGCAUCUUCACCUGUUCAAUCUUUCCCCAUCCAGCAGUCCCAACCACAUCAGAUGCCACUACAGUCACACAUGUAUGGAAACACUCACCUUUCUCAUACCCAAGGAACAAACCAGUCAAAUCCACAGCAGCAGCAGGCUUAUGCUAUACGCUUGGCUAAAGAGAGACAUAUUCAACAAAUGCUGCCCCAACAACAGCGGCCACUACCUGGAGCCAAUGCAGUGCCAACUGUGCAGAAUGGCUCACAAAUGCAACAGCAGAGCCAAGGAUCUGCAGCCGCUGUAAUCCCAGCUUCACAGCCACAGCAUAAACAGCAGCAUCCUACACAGAAUCCACUAGGUAACCCGAUGCUUUCCCAUCAACCUUCUGCCCCUACAUCGCAUAAACAGAAAAAGCAACAGGGCCAGCAGCAGCCUAGACAAAAUCAACAACAACGGAAUCAAGGUAGUCAGCAAGCUAAGCUUAUGAAGAGCUUAGGGCGGGGGAACAUGAUGCACCAAAGUCCUGUGGAUGCUACUCAAGCUAGUGGCAUUUCUACAACCUGUAAAAACCAAGUUCCUGAUAAGAAUGUGCGGCAACAGAGUCCAGGGCAUUUUGUUGGUAAUAAGGGAUCAAUACCUCAACCUGGGAGUCAACCAAAGGUAUAUACUUCUCAGAUGCCUCUGUCUCCUAUGCAGACACCAGAUAUUAAUAAUCAGGGCGCAGUAAAGGGUUCUUCCAACCAUACAUUGUUAACUUCCCAACAAGGCCCACUUCAUUCACCUUCACAUUUGGCUACACAACAGCAGCUAUGAUACAUGAACCCUUCACAGAAUAAUAUCCAAAGGUUAAUGAUGCAACAAAAUCGCCAUAUGAACACAGAUGGCAGGGCUGAAUUACCUGUUGACCAAGUACAACAUAACCAGGUAAUAUCAUCUCCCUCACUUGCAAGAAGUACGGACUCAGGUAGCCCAGGCAUCUCGUCUAUAAGCCAGCGGAAACAAGAGUCGUCCCACGAUCCAAGCGCAGUUACCUCAACCUCCCAGCUAGCUAGCUCACCCCAGGACACCUUUGUUGGAAGUGAUAAGCUAUUGCCAUCAUCUAGCCAAAGCAUGCUGCAAAGGCAAAUGUCCGGUGGUGUGCCUAUACAUGGACAUUCCAUUGGUGGUCAGCUGCAGCAACAACAGCCUCGGCAGCAGCAGCAGAGGCCUGUUGUUCAAGGCAGUGUAUACGCUCAUCCUUCAAAUUCUGGACCAGGAUGGACUACGAUGGGCCUCUAUUUUUGAGGAGCCUCCCUCCCCCUUGUAAAGUUACUGUACAGGUGUCCGUGCUGUGGAAGAUGUGCGGAUGAUAGCGCUCUUUAUUCCUCAACUUUGAGCUAAUUGUAGCCACCUCAGUGUCAGGUAGAUAAUUAUUCCCGUACCAUUUUGGUGCCACACUGCUACCUUCCAAGUAGUUUGACCCUAGAAUGCUGGAGGUGGUUCUUGUGAGGGCAAAUUUCUUUUGUUGUCGAAUUGUAACCCGACGGUGGGCCCAGUUGUAUAUUUUGCCUUUGAGGUCCAUGUUGUUAGAGACAAAUCUCUUUUGUAUUAACCUGUAUAUUCAGAUCACAAGUCAAUGAAUGCAAAAGCCUCUUUGCGUCAAACUA